GCACAUGGAGGAAAGGCUAUUAGAAUUGAAAGAUGCUCAGGUGGCUGGAGAGAGACUCAGAGAAGCUGGAAACCCCAUCAGGCCCUAGAGAGAGAGAGGAUCCCCGCUUCAGAAUGACCCUGGACAAGUUCUGCCCCAUCCCAGCUUCUCCACCCAUAAUCCCCAGGCACACAGUCGUUCCUCAGGUUUCCCCUGCUGCCGCCUUACACAGGGCAUCCUUAACCUCGUCAGUUACACAGACCACCUGAACGAUUCAGCUCCACCUACCUGUUUCAUGGUUUCCUUAAUAUUCCUCUUUAAAUCGGCUCUUUUGAAUACCCUUAUUUAAAAAGUACGUGACCUCCCUACCACGAAUUCAUUAAUUCACUAAACAAAUAUUUAUAAAAACACUGACCACGGGCUGGGCACUGUUGAAGUCACUGGGGGCACAGCUGGGAACAAGACUGACAAAGACCCCUGGUCUCCUGGAGUGGACGCCAUAGUGAGGAGAGAGGGAGAGGAUUAGAAUAAAUGAUGGGACAUUGAACAUCAGGGAAUGAAACCCCUUCCUUCAAAAGGGAUGAAGGAAAAUGAAGACUGCAGGGGCAGAGGGUGGUAUGUGUGUGUGUGUGCGCAGAGGGUGGUAUAUGUGUGUGUGUGUAUAUGUGUGUGUGUGUGUACACAGUUUCAGGCAGGGCGGUUUGGGGUGCCACAUCGAGAAGGUGACAGCUGAGCAAGGGCUUGAAGUAGCCAGGGGGACCAGGUGUGCAGAAAUCAAGAGAAGAAAGUUCCACGUAGUGAUGACAGUCUGUGCAAAGGUCCUGAGGCAGGAGCCGGGACAGCAAAGGAAUAGUAAGGAGCGGAGUGUGGCUGGGGUAGAGAGAGUGAGGGAAAGAGUGGCAAGAGGUGAGAUCAGGGAGGCGAGAGGGUGCGUGGCAGAUUGAGCUGGGUCUUGUGACCAUGGUGUGGACUUUGGCCUUGACUCCAGGACCAGAGCUGACUGAUUUAUUUCUUUAUUUGACUCUGUCGAGUCUUAGUUGCAGCCCAGGGGAAUCUUCACUGCAUCAUGUGGGAUCUUUGCUGGCUGAGUAGCUACAGUUCCCGGGCUUAGUUGCCUGUGGGCUCUUAGUUCCCAGGCGAGGGAUCGAACCCAUGUCUCCUGCCUAGCAAGGCUGAUUCUUAACCACUGAACCACCAGGGGUGUCCCUGACCAAUUUUAACAGACUCUCUGGCUGCUAAGCGGGAUAAUGGGAGACAGACUGUGCGGGUGGGAGUGGCAACAGGGAGACCAGUUGGAAGCUGUUACAUUGUGAAUGAAAGUACAACUCCAUACAGCUGCUGCUAAGUCAUUUCAGUCCUAUCCGACUCUGUGCGACCUCUGAGAUGGCAGCCCACCAGGCCUCCCCGUCCCUGGGAUUCUCCAGGCAAGAACACUGGAGUGGGUUGCCAUUUCCUUCUUCAAUGUAUGAAAGUGAAAAGUGAAAGUGAAGUCGCUCAGUCAUGUCCGACUCUAGCGACCCCAUGGACUGCAGCCUACCAGGCUUCUCUGUCCAUGGGAUCCAUACAGCUGGACAUAAGUAUAGAAAGUGAGAAAGGAAAAGUCAAACAAUGGUUUAGAUUCAUAGCUCCAUAUGUUGCUGAUUUUCUCUUCGUAGAAGAUAGCAAGCAUUAGAAAGGCGUUAAAAAAACCUGAUCAAGGCGUUCAUUUGCCGCUCUCAGAAUCAUGCAAAAAGAGAAGAAAAAGGAGUUAUUUUCCCCAUCUGAUUCAACGCCUUUAAAAAUAUCAUAACUUUAAAAAUGUCAUCAAAAGGUUAAAAUUUUUUUAGAUUUCGAAAUGUUUCAAAUUUACCUAGAAUCACUGGCCCUGUGGGAAGGAAGCUGGUCAGAGGGUCAGGUUAUACGGUGUCUAGCUUUGGUUCUGGAGCUUACAAGGUAGGCAGGUAAGGUUCACUCUCUUGAGAACUUUUGCCAUUCAUGAGCCAGUUCGGUGCCAUUUGUUGAAUGACUUCUAGUCUCUAAGGCGCUGGCAAACUAUGGUGUUUGUGUGUGUGUGUGUUUGCCCAGUCAUGUCCUUCUCUUCGUGACUCCAUGGACUGUAGCUCCCUUUUAUUUACUUAUUUAUUUUGGCUGCAUCCGGGCUUAGUUGUGGCGUGAGGGCUUCUCUAGUUGCAGGACACAGGCUUAGGAUCUUAGUUCCCCGACCAUGGAUUGAACCCUCAUCCCCUGCAUUGCAAGGUGGAUUCUUAACCACCAGAGCACCAGAGACGUCCCCCAUCACCUCUUUUUGUAUCACCUUUGAGAUGACAAGGAUAUCUAGCAGGUAUGGCUCAUGUGCCUCCACUUCCUUUGAUAUGACUGUGGCAGACAUUGUUAAUCCAUCGCAGCAUCUUUUCUCACUAACUUAGAUGGGACUCCCCACCUCCUUUUCCAUUAAGCUGUCUAGUGCCUAGAAUAGUACCUGGCCCAUAGCAGGCCCUCAACAAAUAUGUGUAGGUUAAUUUACUGAUUGGAAUUGGGCUGGGAGGUGAAAGCUGUUUGCCACCCCUAAAUUAGAACAUAUUCAGGGAAAACAAAAUCUUGAAGGUCAGGAAGCUAUAACACAUAAGGAAGAGUUGAGGGAGGAGACAAAAUUACUGCUUUCAUUUUCUAGGGAUUACUGAGUGGAAGCAAAAUUAGACUUCUUAACUCAGAAUCAAGAUAGGAGACAAAGUUCUGAAGAGGCUGAUCUCAUGAGAAAGGAAUUUUUCAUGAAUACACUGUUCCCUGGGAAAACAGCCUUCCUCCCCCUUCUCUCUGUGCCUCUCCCUCUUCCUGCCUACCCAACCCCUCAGAGGUAAGCACCAUCUGUUGCCUUUGCCUGCCCGCCAUCCACUCCCAUUCUUUGGCAAUUACAUCUGGUUUUCUUUUGAGGAACCUUCCCCACUCUCAAUCCAUUUCAUCAUGUGGAGCCCGGUUUAUCUCUCUGGCUUCAGGGUUAUACAAGUAGCUCAACUUUGCAUUCUAAGACCUGGCCAUGGUGAUUAUUUCAUGUAAGGACAUGUGAUGUAGUUAAGCUGGUGAGAGGCAGCUCUGGGGUUUUUGAUGGAACUAUCAGGAAAAAGGUACUAUUUUUCCUCUUGGGUGGCUUAGCUGGAAUAUAAGGCUAGAGCCACUGAGAGCUAUCUUGUCACACCUUAAGGGGAGAACCUUCCUGGAAAUGGAGCCACCGUAGAGAAAAGGAGAGUUGAGGGGUCUACAUUCUAUCAGAGUUUCUUGAUAGAAUUGAGCCCCUGGAUCCAGCCAUAACUGAAGCUCACUUAUAUAGGACAAGAACGUUUCUUAUUACUUGAUCUGAGCAUCCAACUGUCCGGUUGAUUCUGCUGCACAGAAAAGUCAACAUGUCCCAGAUGGAACAUCUUGGCUCCCCCCACCUCAAAAUCUCUGCUUCUCUAGGAUUUUCUUCCAACCUCAGCACAUCCCAUACCUACCUCGUGACACGCUGCCCCACCCUUGCUCCAGUGACCGGCUUUUUCUUGCCUCAGCUGAUGACCCCUCCAUCCUUCCAGGAAAAGGGUGAAGUUCUGGACUGUGUUUUGUCAGGAACAUAAAGGACUCGUAGGAUUCUCAAACUCAACAUGCCAGAUCUGGGACCAAGCCUUACCUCACUCUGGCCCCCUCCUCUUAAGAGGACCUCCAGCCUUUAAUCUCAGUCUGGACAUCUGUUUUAUCCCAGUCUUUCUUGGUAGCUAAGCCUGGGGUUUAGAAUCCACUUGCCAGUUCAGGAGACAUAGGAGACACAGGUUUGAUCCCUGGGUCAGGAAGAUCCCCUGGAAGAGGGCAUGGCACCUACUCCAGGAUUCUUGCCUGGAGAAUCCCCACAGGACAGAGGAGCCUGGUGGGCUACAGUCCACAGGGUUGCAAAGAGUUGGGCACGACUGAAGCAACUGAGCAUGCAAUUCAACAAACAACACAUUCCAAGCCUGGCUCCCUGCCAUUCUGGAGACUCUCUGCGUUGUCUAGGAUCCUUGAAUUUGUUCCUUUUCUGUUUAAAUCAGCCAGAAGCAGUUUCUGUUGCUGUAGCAGAAAACUUCCCUGAUUCACAUGAUUUUCACAGCUUGUUUAUAUUUUCUGCCUUUUAUUUUAUUAUUUUUAAAAAUGUUAUUUAUUUAAAAAUUUUAUUUAUGUUUGGCUAUCUUUUCUGCCUUUUAUUUUAUUAUUU